rnacentral:lncRNA from 1 species
GGUAAGAAUUUUAACAUGUGUAAGUUUCUCCAUAGUCUUCAUUUGAAUCAUCUUCUAGUGUACAUAGUGGUAUUUCUUUAUAGAGGGAGUAAUUACAUAUGGACACACUUUCUUUUCGAAUAGAUUUGCCUGCAGUUUUUGGAUUCAUAAAAUAACGACAAUUAUUUAACACAUGUAGAAGAUGAGAAGUGAAAUACCUGAUCAUUGAGAAGUUUGUUCUGUAUAACCUUUUUUGCUUCAUUCGUCACUUCUGUUCCUUGGAUUUCCAGUUUGCUUUAUAAAGAAAAUACUUGCAUUAUACUUUUGGUAAACUAUUUGAACUUGUUUUCCCAUCUGGAUCCUGCUGGAGGUGGCUUGAUUUCGUGUAGAAGAUGGUACCUGCUAGAGGUGGUGUUGUCGCUAGAUGGAACUAAUGAUGUAGGUUGCCUCAUUGCUGGCUGGAGUUGAUCGGACAAUCCUCAAUAUUAUGUACAAUGUCCUACAAGCUCAAUAGUAUUUAGUGGAAAUAAAACUAAGUGGCUUGCCGAAUUGAGCUUAAACUUGUUAGUUGGGCAUAUUUUGGCAACGCAAAUAUAAACUUAUAUAUGUGCUAUUAAUUAGAACAAUGGGAUUCAUGAAAAGAAUGGGUGGAUAUGAACUUUUAGGUGUGCUACGGAGUAUUAUUAUUGAUUAAAGAAUAGAACAGUUCUUGAAAAAAAAGGCGUUGCAUGCAAAGAGCGGUAGUAUAGGUUUUAGAGAGUCAAUCUAAUACCUGCCUUGGCUUUGGUUGCCGCUAACGCUGCAUAGUGCAAGAACAAUUCCAAUGGAGAUGGUGGCUGUGCUAGAGCAUACCAAUUCUUUUUUACUGAUCCGUCAGGUCUAAGACCUGUGGCUGCUUGUCAGGUCCAACAUCCGCAUCAAGCAGCAGUGUGUCGGUUCGAUGGGAGAAGUCCAUUUUCAGUCCCUCAUGGAGGCCAUGCAGUUUAUGGCGUAUGUCUGUGUCCAGGCCGGUGCUUUGUGGACAGACCUUCAAAAUUCAGGACAUCUUGAAGGAGAAAGGUAGGGUUCUCUUGAGGAAGUUUGUGUGCCUCGGUGUAGCAGGAAUUGCUAAGUAUAUCUUGAAGGAGAUCUUUCUUUCUGGUAAAGUAUGUUUUGUUUAUGUAGAUGUCCAUCUGUACUAUAAUCUGGUAGUAAUGAAACAAUAGUUUCUUCUCGGAUGCAUGUUCUUUUUUCAUGUAAGAUGUAACAUCAGAUUGAAUUGAAAAGGGAAAUAGACAUGGCGCUUCAUGAACUUCUAUACGUUCUACUUGUAUACGUUCAAC